GCAGUAGCCGCGGGAAUACGGAGGGUGCAAGCGUUAAUCGGAAUUACUGGGCGUAAAGCGCACGCAGGCGGUCUGUCAAGUCAGAUGUGAAAUCCCCGGGCUUAACCUGGGAACUGCAUUUGAAACUGGCAGGCUAGAGUCUUGUAGAGGGGGGUAGAAUUCCAGGUGUAGCGGUGAAAUGCGUAGAGAUCUGGAGGAAUACCGGUGGCGAAGGCGGCCCCCUGGACAAAGACUGACGCUCAGGUGCGAAAGCGUGGGGAGCAAACAGGAUUAGAUACCCCUGUAGUCCCUGUCUCUUAUAC
rnacentral:rRNA from 1 species